GGGCUGAGAGACCGGGCUGAGGAGCCGGGCAGGCUGAAAGACAUUGCUACCCAAUGUUGGGAAGUGGCCACUGAAGGCAUUUCCAGUUUAUUCCCAGGGCCACUCACUUUACUUUUUCCAAACUCCUACAACUUUUGGGUGGGUCGUGGUAAAGAUGAACCAGGCGAUCGUGAUUCGCAGCGUUUGUCUUAGGAAAGGCUUUGCCUUCAGGUGCUGGCGAACACCCCGCCGUGCUUACUCAGAUCUUGUCCUUAAAGUGCUCCAGUCUCGAGUCCAUAUAUUUCAGCGGCCUCUUCCUGACUUGUUAAUUGUUUUUUGGAGGUCUCCUCCAGUCUUACCUGAGUUGUUCCCAAGUGCAUAAAUAUAGCUCGUCUCCUAGGUGGGCACGCGUUUAAAAAUAUAUAUAUUCCUUGGCAGGAGCCGGGCCCGGUGAGCUAUUUCAUUCCCUUGGGAGCUGAAGGAGCACUUCCCUGGCCUGUGGAAGUGCAGGGAGCGCCAUGGACACGGGCAGGCACGCAGCAGCUAUGCUGGCCGGGAAACAGUCUGCAAUUUGUGUCCGAGGAGUGCUCUCCAUUGAGUCAAUCACGAUCCGUGCAGAGUUUCUAGUGAGCUGAACAUACGUGAAUAUAUGUGGCUAGAUUGUUUUGACUUGCUGAAGUUGACACACAGAAGAACCCAGCCAGGUAGCGCUCAAGAGUUUUAAAAAUAAAAGAGAGAGAACUUCUUUUGAUUUAAAUAGAAGCCAGCCUUUGAACAUUGAGAUAAUGCUGAGUUAGGCUGCCAUUUAAUUGCCCAGGUGAGGAUGUUUUACAUAUUCAUUUGUGGUACAUGUUUGGGAGGGAAAGUAUGGAAUUAUUUUUGUUCAUUAUGGCAGUUCCUUUGCUCCUUUACUCACUUUAAGCAUUUAUGCUUCAGCUUUUCUUUCCCACAGCCCUUGGCACUUGUAACAGCAUCAUUUAACGUUAUAACCAAAUGUUUCUGCUGUUUGCUGUGACUCAUCAGAGCUGCAGUAGUUUCUGUUGGAGAAGGAGUCAUUUUCCUCCCCAGUGAGGGCGUUUUGGUAUUUGCCACAUGUUCCUGGUGACGGGACCAAACAGGAUCAUUCCUCUGGACUGCGAUGGGCAGGUGAGGUAGUGCUCUUGUUCCCAGUGAUAGUGGUGCUUGUCUGAAUUCAGAGAUCCCCAGAGUGAUCUGAGCAUGUGAACAUCCUUGCUGAACUUACUGGUACUUAAGUUCAAUGUGUGCUUAAAUGCUGUGCUAAAGUAGGAGCUUAUUUUGGGUCUCCAUGCAUCUUUAUAAAGAUGGAAUGGUGAUGUGGAAUAAAUAAAGUAAUUACUGCCAAGUGAAAAAUAAAAGACUUGGAGGAAUAUUAUUGAUGUCCUUUGCUGCUUCAGGAGCAAUGUAUUUGGUCAGCUUCCA